rnacentral:rRNA from 1 species
UUCCCCAUAGUAGAGGAUAGCCCGGCGAAAGUCGGAUUAAUACUCUAUGUUGUAUAAUGAGGACAUCUGAAUUAUACCUAAAGAUUUCAUCGCUAUGGGAUGGGGAUGCGUCUGAUUGGCUUGUCGGCGGGGUAACGGCCCACCGAGGCAACGAUCAGUAGGGGUUCUGAGAGGAAGGUCCCCCACAUUUGGUACUGAGACACGGACCAAACUCCUACGGGAGGCAGCAGUGAGGAAUAUUGGUCAAUGGACGAGAGUCUGAACCAGCCAAGUAGCGUGCAAGGGAUGACUGCCCUAUGGGUCGUAAACUUGCUUUUAUGCGGGAAUAAAGUCAGGUACGUGUACCUAGUUUGUAUGUACCGCAUGAAUAAGGACCGGCUAAAUUCCGUGCCAGCCGCGGC